rnacentral:rRNA from 1 species
UACGUAGGGUGCGAGCGUUAAUCGGAAUUACUGGGCGUAAAGCGUGCGCAGGCGGUUUUGUAAGCCAGGUGUGAAAUCCCCGGGCUCAACCUGGGAAUGGCAUUUGGGACUGCAAGGCUGGAGUGCGGCAGAGGAGACUGGAAUUCCUGGUGUAGCGGUGAAAUGCGCAGAUAUCAGGAGGAACACCGGUGGCGAAGGCGGAUCUCUGGGCCGAUACUGACGCUGAGGAGCGAAAGCGUGGGAAGCGAACAGG